GACGAACGCUGGCGGCGUGCUUAACACAUGCAAGUCGAACGGAAAGGCCCUGCUUUUGUGGGGUGCUCGAGUGGCGAACGGGUGAGUAACACGUGAGUAACCUGCCCUUGACUUUGGGAUAACUUCAGGAAACUGGGGCUAAUACCGGAUAGGAGCUCCUGCUGCAUGGUGGGGGUUGGAAAGUUUCGGCGGUUGGGGAUGGACUCGCGGCUUAUCAGCUUGUUGGUGGGGUAGUGGCUUACCAAGGCUUUGCCGGGUAGCCGGCCUGGGAGGGUGACCGGCCACAUUGGGACUGAGAUACGGCCCAGACUCCUACGGGAGGCAGCAGUGGGGAAUAUUGCACAAUGGGCGGAAGCCUGAUGCAGCAACGCCGCGUGCGGGAUGACGGCCUUCGGGUUGUAAACCGCGUUCGCCUGUGACGAAGCGUGAGUGACGGUAAUGGGUAAAGAAGCACCGGCUAACUACGUG
rnacentral:rRNA from 1 species